AAACUGUCACUGCUGUGUCUUCAAACAAAGCAUCAGAAAGCGACCAGAUGGGAUGAGAACCACAAAGAAACAACUUUUAGAGUCAAAGGAAAUGCCAAAGUGAUAAAAUCUAGAAGCACUGGUGU